CGCGGGGGAGUGAAACGGAUAUUUUAUAUCACAUCAGGCUCAUAACCUGGGAAUAGUGGGUUCGACUCCCACCUCCGCAA
rnacentral:tRNA from 1 species